AAAACCUAAAUCCCAAAUUCACUAUCUUCUCCUUUUCCUCUAGCAGUGGCUCAAUUCCGAGAAGCUCACUCCGAUUACCUCAAUGGUGGGCAUCGCACAAGGCUCUGAUUUGCAUUGGUCUUCUCCAUCUCCUAUUUCUGUGUUACAUGGUGAUGAAGUCAUCUUCUUCAUUCUCCUCCUCUCUAGCGACGGAUUGGGUUCUUCCCGAUAAAGGGAGGUAGUAGCGGCCAUGAAUCACGCUGAAAGCCAAGAUUAGCGGCAGGAACCUUCCUGCUCGUGGUGGAAUGGAGAAAUUGAAGGAACCAUUCUCUUCGAGGGGUAAGUCAAAUGAGAACUCGGAAAGGUCCCUCUUUGUGGUGGUUUGCGGUGCCUAUUGAAACAUAGGGAAAUUCUAUCCAUUUUCGGUGUUUGGAUUAAUUCAACCAUGGGUCGACUUCGUAGUUUUUAUUCCAUUCUCUGCUAUCAAACCAACACCGACCGGAAGGCCCAACAACUCAAGGCUUGUGUUGUAGGUGUAUUGUGUAGGUUUGUGAUAUGACUGAGUUUUCUCCCUCUGUAUGACUACUCUAAAUCUUUGUGAAUCCAAUCAUUCUCAUAAUGACUUUGAUUUAUGUGUAGGUUGAGUCUUGUAUUUCAUUAACUAUGACUUUCUCCUUUGUGUGCAGUUUUCAUUUGAUCCAACUAAGAAGUUGGGUUUGGAUAUAACUUAUUGCAUUGUUACAAGGUGUGAUAGAUUGUUGAUAGCUCAUAUGGUUUUUGAAAUUAUUAUCCAUAAAAAUUAAAAUGUUGUUUCACUCAUAUGUAUAACCACAAGGCUCCAUUGGGACAAAAUGCUGAAAGAAAACCAAAAUAUGUCAUACGCUUGUAAGUUUUCCUGUUGAGACAGUAAGUUUACAUCAUAUACAAAUAUUUCUCUAUUCUAGCAUCCUCUUCAAUCUAAAACAUUUGUUUUUGUUCUUAUAUUAAAUCUCACUUCCUUACAUCGUAGGUUUCAUUUUCUUUUUUUAUCUUUUUAGUAUACUUAUUUUCUUUGUUACUUAUAGGUGAUAAACUUAGUAUGAUUAACUAAUGAAGUGUUUUAGAAUACUUGUUGAUUUCCUCUUAACCCUGGUAUUGUUGGUGAUGAAUGUCUAUAAAUUGAAAUCAUUGAGAUGGUGUGCAUAUUUUUACUGUAUUAUUUGCUUAGUAAUUGUUGUUGUUGCUAUAUUUUUUGCGGCAUGAGUUCAAUUACCAACAAUUCAAGGUAAACUAACUCUAACUGCUUUUAGUGUUUUUUAUCGAUGAGAAGAAGUCUUUCUCAGCACAUAAUGGCUUGGACUUUAUGCAG
rnacentral:lncRNA from 1 species